UCUGCUGCUCAGGCUUUCCUCGGAACAGAGGUCAGAGCAUGGCUCCCUGGUGCCCGGCAGCAUGCGGAUAGCCCAGCCAGACAUGGUCUCUGCAGCCCCUACUUCGGGGGACAGGCUGGCUCGACUUUUAGAUGGAGCAGGCGAGAGCCCACUAGGGGUCCUCAGCAGCCCAGAACCGCUUCUUCGACUGCAGAGGACGCAGAGGGUGUGGCGGGUCCCAGAGCUGGAUGUUCAGCGCGCCAAGGUCUUUCUGCAGCUGUGGCCGCUGGGGAGCUUCCUGGUCGUAGGACACGGUCCUAGCCAGGUCUUGAUGCUGAAGGCGGGACCCUCGUCAGCAGACAUCAACACCUAUCCGAUUCGGAAGGUUCCAGGAGGUGUAGCCCUGGAAUCCUCCAACCUCUUCAUGCCAGACCUUCCCCACCUCCUGGCCUUUCUGGCAGCCAGCAGGGACGUUUUGCCAAGGACACUGCUCUUACCCACUCCAGCUGUAGGACCUGGAGACGCGCAAUCAGAUCCUCUGCGACUUGGCUGCGUCCAGGUGGACACCUCAGGGAGGGUGCUGUCUGUAGUGAACCAGCUCUACCUGGAGACCCACGGAAGCUGGGGAGCAGAGCAGCCGCCACAGCAAACGGAGCCACAGACUCAGCAGAUACACAGUCUAGCCCCCAGGAAUCCCACCCCACACCGGGUCUCCUGGGUGGAAGAGCCACCGAAACCGGAAGUUCACCCUACUGGACAGGAAGUGCAUCAUCCUGACCUCCAGGAGCGCCAUCCUGGAGCCCAAGUGAGCUUUCUUAGGCCUGCUCUAGCUCGUGUGGUGGAAGGGGAGGAGGAAGUGAGCAAUGAAAACUACAGAGAUGAAGAGGAAGGCCGCGAGGAUUUGCUCACCGCCCACAUCCGUGCUCUGGCCAGGGCCAGGAGCAGCUAUGUAGCCAGGCAGUACCGAUGCCUUCAGGCACGCCUCGUCUCAGAUUGUGGAAAUCCCUACAAGGCCGGGGACCCGGCCACAGAGCUGCUUCAGGAUGUGCGCCAGCUCCUCACUGACCUCCAGAACUACCUGGCAAAAGACCCCGACGUCAGAGCUGUCUUUGGGAACAGGGGACCUAGGGCUCCUCAGGACCAGGAUCUUGGCCCCGCUGUGGAGGUGGCCCUGUGUCGGGCGGUUCUGGAGCCCCUGAAGCCCGCCCUGUGGACCAAACUCCGAACUCUCAGAGCCCAGGAGCUGCGGAGGCUGCGCCGGCGCCAGAUAGCCCUGAGGGCCGGGGCGGGGCCCGAGGGACACGGCCCCGCCCCCGCCCUGCGGAGCCGGAUCCACGCGCGCCUGGCGCACUUGCACUCCGCGUGCGCCCCGCGCCGCAAGGUGGCGCUGCUGCUGGCGGUGUGCAGCGACGUCUACGCGGGCCUGGCUGGCGGCGAGAAGGAAGAGCCCCUGGGGGCGGACGCCUUUUUGCCCGCCCUGACGGAGGAGCUGAUCUGGAGUCCACACAUUGGGGAGACGCAGCUGGAUGUGGAGUUCCUUAUGGAGCUCUUAGAUCCGGAGUCGCUGCGAGGAGAAGCUGGGUACUACCUUACCACGUGGUUUGGGGCUCUCUACCACAUCGCUCACUACCAGCCAGAGGCUGGCCGCGCGCCCCAGGGGCUGAGCUCGGAGGCCCGGGACUCCCUGCGCCAGUGGCACCGAAGGAGGACACUGCACCAGCAGACCCAGGCCACAGCUCAGGCCCAUCUGCCCUUUGAGGAGCCAUGGGCAACAGGGGACCAGUGAUGAUUGGAACCGUCACUUCCGAACCUUUGGCCCACUCCUCUGCUUAAGCAAGAUGCUCGAGGCAUCUGGAGGACCCAGGUUCAACUCCCAGCACCUACAUGGCCGCUGACCACCUUCUGUCACUCCAGUUCCAGGGGAUACAACACCUUCUUCCAACCUCCAUGGGCGCCAGGCACACACAUAUAUACACGCAAGCAAAGCACUCAUAUAAACUAAUUAAAUGUGGUGCUGCCAAAAAAAUGCAAGGGCUGGAGAGGUGGUUUCGCAGUUAAGAGCGCUGUCUGCUCUCUCAGAGGUCCCAAGUUUAUUGCCAGCAAUCGCAUGGCAGUUCAUGACCAUUGGUAAUGGAAUCUGAUGCCCUCUUCUGGUGUGGAUGAAGACAGCACUCAUAUACAUAAAAUAAACCUUAAAACCAAA